AGAAGACCAGAUUCUGACACCUUUAACUGAUGAUGAGUGGCAACUUGCUCUAUGAGUAAUCCCACGGACUUCAAUGGGAUUACUUUAUGGAGGACCAAAGAUUUGUGUAGCAGAUUCUUCAAUCUCCCUUGUACAUUCUGAAUUUUGAAAGGGUCAUCAAAAGUGGUUUGUGUGGACAUUGAAGGCUAAAUCCCCAUCGGCAUAGCUCCAGCUACUUCAACGCAGCAAUGGCGAUUUGCAGCAGAUGAGGAUCUGGACCUCUUAGUUAUUUUGAAUGGAAGUUGUUUAAAAAUGGGUUUAAAGAAGGAAUCACUGUCACAAGUUUGAGAGAAAAAGAAGGUGAUGGAGAUUUAUAUGAAGAAGAGAGAGAGCUCCAGCUGUGAUCGGUGCUAGAAAAAGAAUGCCAGCAUUGGAGGAACGCAGUGAUUAAGGAGAACAGUACAUUUAUAUGAGGUUGAGCAAAUCUAUGAGCAUGAGGCGCUGAACAUAGGUCAAUUGUAUUCAGAUCCCAACAGGAUCGGGCCCAACGCGUUUUAAGAGGAAGAGGCAUUUUCUAAGAAUGGUUGCAUCAUACAGCACUAUCGAGCAUAGAAGUGCCGAGCAGGGAGGGAUGCAAGGUUGGAGAAGCGGAGCUGUAAUGAGCUGUUCAUUGCUUACGUGACUGUGUGCCAUGCGAAGAG